UACGGGGGGGGCAAGCGUUGUUCGGAAUUACUGGGCGUAAAGGGCUCGUAGGCGGCCAACUAAGUCAUACGUGAAAUCCCCCGGCUUAACCGGGGAACUGCGUCUGAUACUGGAUGGCUUGAGUUCGGGAGAGGGAUGCGGAAUUCCAGGUGUAGCGGUGAAAUGCGCAGAUAUCAGGAAGAACACCCGUGGCGAAGGCGGCUCUCUGGGACGGUACUGACGCUGAGACGCGAAAGCGUGGGGAGCGAACAGG
rnacentral:rRNA from 1 species